rnacentral:rRNA from 1 species
GAUGAACGCUAGCGGCAGGCUUAACACAUGCAAGUCGAGGGGUAUAGUAGCAAUACUAGAGACCGGCGCACGGGUGCGUAACGCGUAUGCAAUCUACCUUUUACAGAGGGAUAGCCCAGAGAAAUUUGGAUUAAUACCUCAUAGCAUUGCGAAAUGGCAUCAUUUUGUAAUUAAAGUCACAACGGUAAAAGAUGAGCAUGCGUCCCAUUAGCUAGUUGGUAAGGUAACGGCUUACCAAGGCAACGAUGGGUAGGGGUCCUGAGAGGGAGAUCCCCCACACUGGUACUGAGACACGGACCAGACUCCUACGGGAGGCAGCAGUGAGGAAUAUUGGACAAUGGGCGCAAGCCUGAUCCAGCCAUGCCGCGUGCAGGAUGACGGUCCUAUGGAUUGUAAACUGCUUUUUGUACGAGAAGAAACACUCCGACGUGUCGGAGCUUGACGGUAUCGUAAGAAUAAGGAUCGGCUAACUCCGUGCCAGCAG